AACGCUAGCCACAUAAGAGUUUGACAUGGCUCAGGAUGAACGCUAGCGGCAGGCUUAAUACAUGCAAGUCGAGGGGUAGAAGAGUACUUGUAUUCUUUGAGACCGGCGAACGGGUGCGUAACGCGUAUGCAACCUACCUUUAUCAGGGGAAUAGCCCAGAGAAAUUUGGAUUAAUACCGCAUAAUAUAAUGAUUGGCAUCAAUUGUUAUUGAAAGAUUUAUUGGAUAGAGAUGGGCAUGCGUAAGAUUAGCUAGUAGGCGAGGUAACGGCUCACCUAGGCUACGAUCUUUAGGGGCUCUGAGAGGAGUAACCCCCACACUGGUACUGAGAUACGGACCAGACUCCUACGGGAGGCAGCAGUAGGGAAUAUUGGUCAAUGGACGAGAGUCUGAACCAGCCAUGCCGCGUGCAGGAAGACUGCCCUCUGGGUUGUAAACUGCUUUUAUAUGGGAAGAAAAGACUCUUGCGAGAGGCAUUGACGGUACCAUAGGAAUAAGCCACGGCUAACUACGUGCCAGCAGCCGCGGUAAUACGUAGGUGGCGAGCGUUAUCCGGAUUUAUUGGGUUUAAAGGGUGCGUAGGCGGCUUUUUAAGUUGGUGGUUAAAGGUAGCAGCUCAACUGUUUUACAUGCCAUCAAAACUGAAGAGCUUGAGUUAUCAGGAGGCAGGCGGAAUUUCUGGUGUAGCGGUGAAAUGCAUAGAUACCAGAAGGAACACCUAUUGCGAAGGCAGCUUGCUGUAGAUACACUGACGCUGAUGCACGAAAGCGUGGGGAGCGAACAGGAUUAGAUACCCUGGUAGUCCACGCCGUAAACGAUGAUUACUAGUUGUUGGAGAUAUACCUUCAGUGACCAAGGGAAACCGAUAAGUAAUCCACCUGGGGAGUACGCCGGCAACGGUGAAACUCAAAAGAAUUAAAGUCAAGCACAAGCGGUGGAGCAUGUGGUUUAAUUCGAUGAUACGCGAGGAACCUUACCUAGGCUCUAAUGUGAGCGAAUUAUCCAGAGAUGGAUAAGUCAGCAAUGACGCGAAACAAGGUGCUGCAUGGCCGUCGUCAGUUCGUGCCGUGAGGUGUUGGGUUAAGUCCCGCAACGAACGCAACCCCUAUUAACUGUUGCCAGCAUUUCGGAUGGGGACUCAGUUAAGACUGCCUACGCAAGUAGAGAGGAAGGAGGGGACGACGUCAGGUCAUCAUGGCCCUUACGCCUAGGGCGACACACGUGCUACAAUGGUUGGUACAGAGUGUAGCGAGCUAGCAAUAGUCAGCCAAUCACAAAAAGCCAAUCACAGUUCGGAUUGGGGUCUGCAACUCGACCCUAUGAAGCUGGAAUCGCUAGUUUUCGCAUAUCAGCCAUGAUGCGGUGAAUACGUUCCCGGUCCUUUACACACCGCCCGUCAAGCCAUGGAAGUUGGGUAUACCUGAAGCGGAAG
rnacentral:rRNA from 1 species